ACAUUCUAUUUUGUCAAUGUUAAUUCACAUGUUGAUUCACUCCUUCAACAUGCUGCACAGAUGCUCUCACUUUCGACUAAAACUUGCUGAUGACACGAUAAUAUUUAAGACAACAACAACCAUCUCUCCAUCAUGGCAAGAUGGUGUCUGUAAAGUGUAAACCACAGCAUUUGCUCCCAGUGCACCACUUACAGCCAUGUAAUACUCCAGGCUUUGAGAAGAAAGACAUAUUUUGUCAGUGUUAAUUUACAGGUUAAUUCACUCCUACUAAUUCACUCUGCACUGAUCCUCUCAAUUCCAGGUCUGGAAAAUUUGCUGAUGACACAGUGAUGCUAAGACUCAUCCUUCAACUGCAAUGACCUCUCCAUCAUGACCAGACAGAGGUUUCGACUUGUCUCCAUAAAGAUCAAGAUUAAGCAGCAAAGACCCCGAAUUGUUGCUGUCAACUUACUCUUCAUGCAUGCCGAUGCAGAGUGCACCCUAAACAACAGCUGCAGGGAAGAGCCUGACUAGUCUGCAACACCCUCUAAAGCACCAACUUUCCCCCUGUCACGGAAACGUCUCUCUGAAAGCUGCCUUGGUCAGGCAUCUGCCAGCUCUGUUUGGCCAGCCCCAGCCCUGGGGACAACCUCACCACUUCAAACCUCAUCACACAGCUUCUGGUACUGCACAACACAAUACAGCCACGACUCUCCCUUGACAGUAAAUCCCAAAGCUGAUGUGGUUUCCUGUACUGCAAACAGAGUGCAUCCCACAUGUCCGCCUUCAAAUUGUUUCUCUCAAUACAAUACAAGAAGUGCAUGUUUGCAGUUUCAUCUCAUUUUAAUUUUCCGUGGGAGUUCAAGAAAUAUAA